rnacentral:lncRNA from 13 species
CUUUCGUAGCAAAGAAAUUAACUGAGGUGCUCUUUAAAAAUAGGUCUGGCUUGUUUACAGAAUUGUUACUUAUGCAGUAAAGCAGAUCUACAGAUGUUUUCUUUUUUUCUUCUAGAUAAAACUUGGAUUGUUUGAAAAGUGGGGAGAUAUUUCACCACAGUACAAAAGGAGAUACAGAAGAGGAGAGCAGAAUGAGAGCUUUGCAAGUGCCACAUGCCUGCAGCCUGCUGUCUUUAGUGAUGCUGCUCCUUCCAGUCACUGGAACGUCAAAACAAAAUAUCCCAAGACUGAAGCUUUCCUAUAAAGGUCCAAAAGUGUGACCA